rnacentral:rRNA from 1 species
GACGAACGCUGGCGGCGUGCUUAACACAUGCAAGUCGACCGGAAAGGCCCUGCUUUUGUGGGGUGCGCGUGUGGCGAGCGGGUGAGUCACAUGUGAGUAACCUGCCCUUGCCUUUGAGAUAACUUCAGGAAACUUGGUCUAAUACCGGAUAGGAGCUCUUGCUCCUUGUAGGGGGAUGAAAAGUUUAGGCGGUUGGGGAUGGACUCGCGGCUUAUCAGCUUGUUGGUGGGGUAGUGGCUUACCAAGGCUUUGACGGGUAGCCGGCCUGAGAGGGUGACCGGCCACAUAGGGACUGAGGAACGGGCCAGACUCCUUCGGGGGGCAGGAGGUGGGGAUUAUGCACCAUGGGAGGAAGAGUGAUAUAGAAAAGCUGCGUGUGGGAUAAGGGCCUUUGGGUUGUAAACAGUUUUCGCAGGUGACGAAGAGUAAGUGACGGUAAUGAGUGAAGAAGCAACGGCUAAAUACGUG